GAUGAACGCUGGCGGCGUGCCUAAUACAUGCAAGUCGAGCGAACGGACGAGAAGCUUGCUUCUCUGAUGUUAACGGCGGACGGGUGAGUAACACGUGGAUAACCUACCUAUAAGACUGGGAUAACUUCGGGAAACCGGAGCUAAUACCGGAUAAUAUUUUGAACCGCAUGGUUCAAAAGUGAAAGACGGUCUUGCUGUCACUUAUAGAUGGAUCCGCGCUGCAUUAGCUAGUUGGUAAGGUAACGGCUUACCAAGGCAACGAUGCAUAGCCGACCUGAGAGGGUGAUCGGCCACACUGGAACUGAGACACGGUCCAGACUCCUACGGGAGGCAGCAGUAGGGAAUCUUCCGCAAUGGGCGAAAGCCUGACGGAGCAACGCCGCGUGAGUGAUGAAGGUCUUCGGAUCGUAAAACUCUGUUAUUAGGGAAGAACAUAUGUGUAAGUAACUGUGCACAUCUUGACGGUACCUAAUCAGAAAGCCACGGCUAACUACGUG
rnacentral:rRNA from 1 species